rnacentral:rRNA from 1 species
AUUGAACGCUGGCGGCAGGCCUAACACAUGCAAGUCGAGCGGAUGAAGGGAGCUUGCUCCUGGAUUCAGCGGCGGACGGGUGAGUAAUGCCUAGGAAUCUGCCUGGUAGUGGGGGAUAACGUCCGGAAACGGGCGCUAAUACCGCAUACGUCCUGAGGGAGAAAGUGGGGGAUCUUCGGACCUCACGCUAUCAGAUGAGCCUAGGUCGGAUUAGCUAGUUGGUGGGGUAAAGGCCUACCAAGGCGACUAUCCGUAACUGGUCUGAGAGGAUGAUCAGUCACACUGGAAGUGAGACACGGUCCAGACUCCUACGGGAGGCAGCAGUGGGGAAUAUUGGACAAUGGGCGAAAGCCUGAUCCAGCCAUGCCGCGUGUGUGAAGAAGGUCUUAGGAUUGUAAAGCACUUUAAGUUGGGAGGAAGGGAAGUAAGUUAAGACCUUGCUGUUUUGACGUUACCAACAGAAUAAGCACCGGCUAACUUCGUG